UUCUAUGGCAAUUUUCAGGAUGUCCUAGGCAGCGCACGGGUGCUGGCUGCUGGCCGGCGACAGAUCCGGCCGCCGCGAACGCAGACGGCUCGGUGCUGCGGCCUGCGGCCACCCUCCCAGCCUCGCCGCGGCUGCCCUCUCCCGUCAUGGAGACCUCGCGGCAGCGUCUGCUCGAGGAGGGAGGCCGGUCGUCCGGCGUCGGCGGCCGGCCUGGAUCUGCUGCAAUGGCCCCAUGCUGCGCGGCCGGCCCGGGGCUGUGGCUACGCACCCUGCGCUGGUAGCCGACUUGGAUCUGCGGUGGCGGAUCUGCAACGUCGAGAGCCACGCCGGCGACCGCGGCGCCCUCGCACGCUGCUCGGGCGACUACGCCGUCGUCAUCAGCCAGAACACAACGGCACCACCAGUUCCGAGAGGACCUAAUUUGCUGGGAGAAGGUAGCCAUGUGCAUAUUGAUUCUGUUUAAAGCAUUGCCCAGGUGAAUACAGUUUUGGGAAGUUAAGACCGUGUUAGCUGUUGCUUAGUACCCAUAUUUCUUGCUAAAAAGUAAUGGCAGCCAUGUGCAUAUUGAUUCUGUUUAAAGCAUUGCCCAGGUCAGUAUUUUUCUUAGUGCCUUUUUUUGGUUGGUGUUCUCAUCAAGGAGCACAGCAUAAUCUUAGUUUAGGUUGUGAAUCGUGAUUACUUUCUUAUCCUGGUUGCUUUCUAGGUGAAUACAGUUUUGGGAAGUUAAGACCGUGUUAGCUGUUGCUUAGUACCCAUAUUUCUUGCUAAAAAGUAAUGGCAGCCAUGUGCAUAUUGAUUCUGUUUAAAGCAUUGCCCAGGUGAAUACAGUUUUGGGAAGUUAAGACCGUGUUAGCUGUUGCUUAGUACCCAUAUUUCUUGCUAAAAAGUAAUGGCAGCUUGUUUACCUAGUAGUACAAAUGUUCUUGAACAGUUCAUAGCUGUGAGAUUAAUCUCCAGACUUUGUUAACUAUUCUAUAUGUGCAUGUGUAUUUUAUUGAUGAUCUAUUGCAGAAUCACUUCUAUGCUCUUCAGCAUAAACAUUUUAGCACUAGUGCACAGUAUAUUUAAUCGAAACUAUUUUAUUUAAUAUAAAACUAGCUUGUUAACUAGGUUUGUAUGUUGUAUGCCAUCACCAAAUACCACGUGUAUAGUUUACCUAUGUCAUAGAGCAUUUUAGUACUUUCCAUCCCAAAUGUUUCCUGCUGAUAAGUAUUUGGUGAUGUGCUCU